AACGAACGCUGGCGGUGUGCUUAACACAUGCAAGUCGAACGAGAACGUUCCCUUCGGGGGACUAGUAAAGUGGCGCAAGGGUGAGUAACACGUGAAUAAUCUGCCCUCGAGACUGGGAUAACUUGGCGAAAGCUAGGCUAAUACCGGAUAAGACCACGUUUCAUAAGAAAUGCGGAAAAAGGAGUCUCAACCUUCACUCGAGGAUGAGUUCGCGGACCAUUAGCUUGUUGGUGAGAUAAAAGCUUACCAAGGCUACGAUGGAUAGCCGGCCUGAGAGGGUGAUCGGCCACACUGGAACUGAGACACGGUCCAGACUCCUACGGGAGGCAGCAGUGGGGAAUAUUGCGCAAUGGGCGAAAGCCUGACGCAGCAACACCGUGUGAGCGAUG
rnacentral:rRNA from 1 species